rnacentral:tRNA from 1 species
GCGCGGGUGGUGGAACUGGUAGACACAUCGGGCUUAAAACCCGCCGCCCACCCGAGAGGGAGCGUACGGGUUCGAGUCCCGUCCCGCGCACCA